rnacentral:rRNA from 1 species
AGCGAACGCUGGCGGCAGGCCUAACACAUGCAAGUCGAACGAACUCUUCGGAGUUCGUGGCGGACGGGUGAGUAACACGUGGGACCGUGCCUUUUGGUUCGGAAUAACUCAGGGAAACUUGUGCUAAUACCGAAUGUGCCCUUCGGGGGAAAGAUUUAUCGCCAUUAGAGCGGCCCGCGUCUGAUUAGCUAGUUGGUGAGGUAACGGCUCACCAAGGCGACGAUCAGUAGCUGGUCUGAGAGGAUGACCAGCCACACUGGGACUGAGACACGGCCCAGACUCCUACGGGAGGCAGCAGUGGGGAAUCUUGCGCAAUGGGCGAAAGCCUGACGCAGCCAUGCCGCGUGAAUGAUGAAGGUCUUAGGAUUGUAAAAUUCUUUCACCGGGGACGAUAAUGACGGUACCCGGAGAAGAAGCCCCGGCUAACUUGGUG